ACUGGAUAGGCAAUUUUUCCUGUAAUGGUUUUUUGUUUAAAUGUUUUUUCGCCUAAGGAUGGGUCUGCGGCCGAUUAGGUAGUUGGUUAGGUAAUGGCUUACCAAGCCGUUGAUCGGUACGGGUUGUGAGAGCAAGAGCCCGGAGAUGGAACCUGAGACAAGGUUCCAGGCCCUACGGGGUGCAGCAGGCGCGAAACCUCCGCAAUGUGAGAAAUCGCGACGGGGGGAUCCCAAGUGCCAUUCUUAACGGGAUGGCUUUUCAUUAGUGUAAAGAGCUUUUGGAAUAAGAGCUGGGCAAGACCGGUGCCAGCCGCCGCGGUAACACCGGCAGCUCUAGUGGUAGCAAUUUUUAUUGGGCCUAAAGCGUCCGUAGCCGGUUUAAUAAGUCUCUGGUGAAAUCCUGCAGCUUAACUGUGGGAAUUGCUGGAGAUACUAUUAGACUUGAGACCGGGAGAGGUUAGAGGUACUCCCAGGGUAGAGGUGAAAUUCUGUAUUCCUGGGAGGACCGCCUGUUGCGAAGGCGUC
rnacentral:rRNA from 1 species